CGUUGCCGGGUCAUAAACAUGUAAGUCGACGAGGGGAGGCCGCAAGGCCGAGCCUAGUGGCGGACGGCUGAGUAACGCGUAGGUGACUUGCCCGGAAGUGGGGAAUAACGAUUCGAAAGAAUCGCUAAUACCGCAUGUGGUUGUGCGUGUAAACGCGUGCAACUAAACCCGCAAGGGGCUUCCGGAGAGGCCUGCGUCCGAUUAGCUAGUUGGUGGGGUAAUGGCCUACCAAGGCGACGAUCGGUAGCUGAUCUGAGAGGAUGAUCAGCCAGACUGGGACUGAGACACGGCCCAGACUCCUACGGGAGGCAGCAGUUAGGAAUUUUGCACAAUGGGCGAAAGCCUGAUGCAGCAACGCCGCGUGGACGAUGAAGGCCUUCGGGUCGUAAAGUCCUUUUCAGAGGGAAGACAUCGACGGUACCUCUGGAAUAAGCCACGGCUAACUACGUGCCAGCAGCCGCGGUAAUACGUAGGUGGCGAGCGUUAUCCGGAUUUACUGGGCGUAAAGAGCGCGUAGGCGGUUCUGUUAGUUGGGCGUGAAAGCCCCCGGCUUAACUGGGGAGGGUCGCUCAAUACUGCAGGGCUUGAGGGUGGAAGAAGAGACUGGAAUUCCCGGUGUAGUGGUGAAAUGCGUAGAUAUCGGGAGGAACACCCGUGGUGAAGACGGGUCUCUGGGCCACUCCUGACGCUGAGGCGCGAAAGCGUGGGUAGCGAACGGAAUUAGAUACUCCGGUAGUCCACGCCCUAAACGAUGGACACUAGGUGUGGUGGGUAUCGACCCCUGCCGUGCCGCAGUCAACACAAUAAGUGUCCCGCCUGGGGACUACGAGCGCAAGCUUAAAACUCAAAGGAAUUGACGG
rnacentral:rRNA from 1 species